GCGGGGUCUAGCGGUAUGUAUCGGGGUGUAACGGAAACUGCCCGUUUCCAGGCAUUCUUGCCCUAGCAGGGACUUCCGCAGACCCCCGACUUCGGUCUACGAAACCGAAGGUCACAGGUUCGAAUCCUGUCGGGCGCG
rnacentral:tRNA from 1 species